AAGCUCGGUGGGGGGGGGGGCGGGGGGGAGCGGCCCGCAGGGCUGGGCUGAGAGGGGGGCUGAGCCGGGAGCGGCGCUGCUGCCGCCUUCACCGCAGGCACUCCUUUUCGAGCAGGUGUUAAACGGCCCAGUGGAGGAGUGUCUACUCACUCCAGGAGGCGGGCCUGCCCCUCAACCAGCGGACCUCUGGUCUCCUGCAGUGGGUGCAGGGCCCCACGCUCUCGUGCACCGCCGAGUCCGACUCUGCACCCCGUCCACGUCAGGAAGAUGAGCCCUGUGGCCCUCUGGACCCUCGCGGGCUGCCAGCUCCUCCUCGUGGGCUGCAGCUGGGGGCCCAGCCCCGCCGGCCCUGUGGUCGGUCAUUCUGAAGGUGCGAUCCCGUCCUCUCACUAAAGGCAUGGAUUAUCGUC